rnacentral:misc_RNA from 1 species
AAGUCGUAACAAGGUUUCCGUAGGUGAACCUGCGGAAGGAUCAUUAACACGUAUCUCCACGUUUCUACAUACACUUACUACGAACUGUGCUCCCUGUUAGUAACUGCAUAGCUGUUCGGUGCUGAUUGUUAGUGGGCUUCCGCUUGCGGAGGCACAUCAGUGCUGGGCUAUCAUACCUCCGAGUAUGUGGCUGUGUGAUCUCUAGCAGGCUUAUUGACUCUUCUUGUCGCCCUACCACUAUGGGGAGGCAAGAGGGACCCCAUACCAACUGAUUUCACCCUAUUUUACCAACUAUGGCUAAUUCUAUCAUUCGAUGGGAGAAAUCCCGUGGAAUGUAAAACUAAGAUUUAAUCUUAACUAAGCACAACUCUUAGCAAUGGAUAUCUUGGUUCUC